CCAACGGCCCUCUUUAGGGCCACAAAUUGUAAGCAAAGUAUACCUU
rfam:Ascaris suum AG00352, whole genome shotgun sequence.